AGUGAACGCUGGCGGUAGGCCUAACACAUGCAAGUCGAACGGCAGCACAGUAAGAGCUUGCUCUUACGGGUGGCGAGUGGCGGACGGGUGAGGAAUACAUCGGAAUCUACUUUUUCGUGGGGGAUAACGUAGGGAAACUUACGCUAAUACCGCAUACGACCUACGGGUGAAAGCAGGGGAUCUUCGGACCUUGCGCGAUUGAAUGAGCCGAUGUCGGAUUAGCUAGUUGGCGGGGUAAAGGCCCACCAAGGCGACGAUCCGUAGCUGGUCUGAGAGGAUGAUCGGCCACACUGGAAUUGGGACACGGUCCAGACUCCUACGGGAGGCAGCAGUGGGGAAUAUUGGACAAUGGGCGCAAGCCUGAUCCAGCCAUACCGCGUGGGUGAAGAAGGCCUUCGGGUUGUAAAGCCCUUUUGUUGGGAAAGAAAAGCAGCAGGUUAAUACCCCGCUGUUCUGACGGUACCCAAAGAAUAAGCACCGGCUAACUUCGUG
rnacentral:rRNA from 1 species